UACGAAGGGGGCUAGCGUUGUUCGGAAUUACUGGGCGUAAAGCGCGCGCAGGCGGCUAUCCAAGUCAGUGGUGAAAGCCCGGAGCUCAACUCCGGAACUGCCAUUGAAACUGUUUAGCUUGAGGAUGAGAGAGGUGAGUGGAAUUCCCAGUGUAGAGGUGAAAUUCGUAGAUAUUGGGAAGAACACCGGUGGCGAAGGCAGCCCCCUGGGCCGACACUGACGCUCAGGCACGAAAGCGUGGGGAGCAAACGAGGAUUAGAAGUACC
rnacentral:rRNA from 1 species